GCAUGAGGACCAAACUGUCUCCUUUUGACCAAUCAAUGAACCUGAUCUCUCAGUACAAAAGCUGAGAUAAGACCAUAAGACGAGAAGACCCUGUGGAGCUUAAAAUACCGCUACUAACCAACCUUUCCCCAUCAAGGCCCACACGACCAAAAUAGUACACAUUUUUAGUUGGGGCGACUACGGAACCAAACAAAACUUCCACGCCAAGAGGCCCCCCCCCCUCCCCGAGGUCAACAAACCAACACCAACCUUGACCCAGUAACACUGACCAACGAACCAAGUUACCCCAGGGAUAACAGCGCCAUCCUCUUCAAGAGCCCCUAUCGCCAAGAGGGUUUACGACCUCGAUGUUGGAUCAGGACCCCCAGGUGGUGCAACCGCU
rnacentral:rRNA from 1 species